rnacentral:rRNA from 1 species
UACGUAGGGUCCGAGCGUUGUCCGGAAUUAUUGGGCGUAAAGAGCUCGUAGGCGGUCUGUCACGUCGGCUGUGAAAACCCGAGGCUCAACCUCGGGCCUGCAGUCGAUACGGGCAGACUAGAGUUCGGUAGGGGAGACUGGAAUUCCUGGUGUAGCGGUGAAAUGCGCAGAUAUCAGGAGGAACACCGGUGGCGAAGGCGGGUCUCUGGGCCGAAACUGACGCUGAGGAGCGAAAGCGUGGGGAGCGAACAGG